rnacentral:rRNA from 1 species
AGUUUGAUCAUGGCUCAGAUUGAACGCUGGCGGCAGGCCUAACACAUGCAAGUCGAGCGGAAACGAGUUAGAACCUUCGGGGAACGAUAACGGCGUCGAGCGGCGGACGGGUGAGUAAUGCCUAGGAAAUUGCCCUGAUGUGGGGGAUAACCAUUGGAAACGAUGGCUAAUACCGCAUGAUGCCUACGGGCCAAAGAGGGGGACCUUCGGGCCUCUCGCAGGAUAUGCCUAGGUGGGAUUAGCUAGUUGGUGAGGUAAGGGCUCACCAAGGCGACGAUCCCUAGCUGGUCUGAGAGGAUGAUCAGCCACACUGGAACUGAGACACGGUCCAGACUCCUACGGGAGGCAGCAGUGGGGAAUAUUCAAUGGGCAAGCCUGAUGCAGCCAUGCCGCGUGUGUGAAGAAGGCCUUCGGGUUGUAAAGCACUUUCAGUCGUGAGGAAGGUAGUGUAGUUAAUAGCUGCAUNAUUUGACGUUAGCGACAGAAGAAGCACCGGAACUCCGUGCCAGCAGCGCGGUAAUACGGAGGGUGCGAGCGUUAAUCGGAAUUACUGGGCGUAAAGCGCAUGCAUAGUCAGAUGUGAAAGCCCGGGGCUCAACCUCGGAAUUGCAUUUGAAUGGCAGACUAGGUACUGUAGAGGGGGGUAGAAUUGGUGUAGCGGUGAAAUGCGUAGAGAUCUGAAGGAAUACCGGUGGCGAAGGCGGCCCCCUGGACAGAUACUGACACUCAGAUGCGAAAGCGUGGGGAGCAAACAGGAUUAGAUACCCUUAGUCCACGCCGUAAACGAUGUCUACUUGGAGGUUGUGGCCUUGAGCCGUGGCUUUGAGCUAACGCGUUAAGUACCGCCUGGGGAGUACGGUCGCAAGAUUAACAAAUGAAUUGGGGGGNCCGCACAAGCGGUGGAGCAUGUGGUUUAAUUCGAUGCAACGCGAAGAACCUUACCUACUCUUGACAUCCAGAGAACUUUCCAGAGAUGGAUUGGUGCCUUCGGGAACUCUGAGACAGGUGCUGCAUGGCUGUCGUCAGCUCGUGUUGUGAAAUGUUGGGUUAAGUCCCGCAACGAGCGCAACCCUUCCUUUCAGCGAGUAAUGUCGGGAACUCCAGGGAGACUGCCGGUGAUAAACCGGAGGAAGGUGGGGACGACGUCAAGUCAUCAUGGCCCUUACGAGUAGGGCUACACACGUACAAUGGCGCAUACAGAGGGCAGCCAACUUGCGAUGAGCGCCCAAAAAGUGCGUCGUAGUCCGGAUUGGAGUCUGCAACUCGACUCCAUGAAGUCGGAAUCGCUAGUAAUCGUGGAUCAGAAUGCCACGGUGAAUACGUUCCCGGGCCUUGUACACACCGCCCGUCACACCAUGGGAGUGGG